rnacentral:piRNA from 1 species
CAGAAAAGAGAUCCAGGACUUCUUC